rnacentral:rRNA from 1 species
UACGUAGGGGGCAAGCGUUGUCCGGAUUUAUUGGGCGUAAAGAGCGUGUAGGCGGCCAAGCAGGUCAGCUGUGAAAACUCGAGGCUCAACCUCGAGACGCCGGUUGAAACCAUCUGGCUAGAGUCCGGAAGAGGAGAGUGGAAUUCCUGGUGUAGCGGUGAAAUGCGCAGAUAUCAGGAAGAACACCCGUGGCUAAGGCGGCUCUCUAGUACGGUACUGACGCUGAGACGCGAAAGCGUGGGGAGCGAACAGG